GCUUGGAAUAAAAAAUAAUAUUGAUAGCUAAUACGACUACUAUUGAUAACUAAUAAUAUUGUAUUAUUAGCUAAAAUAUUAUUGUAUGCAUAACAAUAUGAUAUCUGUAUUGAGUUGUGUUUCUUUCUUUCUAUCAGUUAUUUUGUUAACAGGCUAUUUUGUGACACCAACAAUGUCUGCCUUGUGUAAGUGUCAGAGAAUUAUAAUACCUCAUAUGUGUUGGAAAAAAUGUGGAA